UGCCUACGGGGGGCAGCAGUGAGGAAUAUUGGUCAAUGGGAGAGAUCCUGAACCAGCCAAGCCGCGUGAGGGAAGACGGCCCUAUGGGUUGUAAACCUCUUUUGUCGGAGAACAAAACCCGGGACGAGUCCCGGACUGCGUGUAUCCGAAGAAAAAGCAUCGGCUAACUCCGUGCCAGCAGCCGCGGUAAUACGGAGGAUGCGAGCGUUAUCCGGAUUUAUUGGGUUUAAAGGGUGCGUAGGCGGGCCUUUAAGUCAGCGGUAAAAAUUCGGGGCUCAACCCCGCCCGGCCGUUGAAACUGGGGG
rnacentral:rRNA from 1 species